rnacentral:rRNA from 1 species
UACGUAGGGUGCGAGCGUUAAUCGGAAUUACUGGGCGUAAAGGGCGCGUAGGCGGGAUGGCAAGUCGGUCGUGAAAUCCCUCGGCUCAACUGAGGAGCGUCGAUCGAAACUGCCGUUCUUGAGGGUUGCAGAGGAGACUGGAAUUCCCGGUGUAGCGGUGAAAUGCGCAGAUAUCGGGAGGAACACCGGUGGCGAAGGCGGUUCUCUGGGCCUUACCUGACGCUGAGGAGCGAAAGCGUGGGGAGCGAACAGG